GACGAACGCUGGCGGCGUGCUUAACACAUGCAAGUCGAACGGAAAGGCCCUGCUUGCAGGGUACUCGAGUGGCGAACGGGUGAGUAACACGUGGGUGAUCUGCCCUGCACUUCGGGAUAAGCUUGGGAAACUGGGUCUAAUACCGGAUAGGAACCAUCUUUAGUGUGGUGGUUGGAAAGUUUUUUCGGUGUAGGAUGAGCUCGCGGCCUAUCAGCUUGUUGGUGGGGUAAUGGCCUACCAAGGCGGCGACGGGUAGCCGGCCUGAGAGGGUGUACGGCCACAUUGGGACUGAGAUACGGCCCAGACUCCUACGGGAGGCAGCAGUGGGGAAUAUUGCACAAUGGGCGCAAGCCGGAUGCAGCGACGCCGCGUGGGGGAUGAAGGCCUUCGGGUUGUAAACUCCUUUCGCUAGGGACGAAGCUUUUUGUGACGGUACCUAGAGAAGAAGCACCGGCUAACUACGUG
rnacentral:rRNA from 1 species